rnacentral:rRNA from 1 species
UACGUAGGGUGCGAGCGUUGUCCGGAAUUAUUGGGCGUAAAGAGCUUGUAGGCGGUUUGUCGCGUCUGCCGUGAAAAUCCGGGGCUCAACCCCGGACUUGCGGUGGGUACGGGCAGACUAGAGUGUGGUAGGGGAGACUGGAAUUCCUGGUGUAGCGGUGAAAUGCGCAGAUACCAGGAGGAACACCGAUGGCGAAGGCAGGUCUCUGGGCCACUACUGACGCUGAGAAGCGAAAGCGUGGGAAGCGAACAGG